CUGGGAUCGAGCUGGGAAUUCCAGCGGCUGCCAGUGCUGCAAGCACAUCCCUGUGACUCAGGGGAGCUCGGGGGUUUGCAUUUUCCUCCUCUCGAAGCCUUUAGGGUUCAUUUCCACACUUUUUCUGUUUUUAAUUCCCUGCAGAACAAUGAGGCUUUCACAACCUGAGGUGAAAAAGCUUUGGAAAGAUGGGUUUGUCCAAGAGGGAGUAUGGAGGAUGCUGGCAAAUAUCCCGACUGCCUGGAGCACUUCUUUAUCCUUUCAUUUUUCCCAAAGGAAAAGCCACCUGGAGCUGCCAGGCAGGAAGAUGCCCUGAGCUUUGCUGAGCAGUGGACAUGCAGCUGGAUGGGCUCUUUGUUGACUGACUCCUUCCUGACACAUUCCUGGGAUCUCCAGAGCUCCAAGGCUGCCUGCAGUGGUCCAGACUUUUCCUGGGAGCUGAUAUGGAGAAUUCCAAGGCUGUGGUGUGGAACAGCCCCGUGCCAUAUCAAUGUGUUGAGGAACGAUGCUCCAGCUGGAAGAACACCACAAAAUUCCCUCUCCCUCAUGUUCCCAGGUCAUUCAUGCACAAAGAGCACAGAUCCAUCCAGAGGUGUAGGAUUCCCAGGAAUGUGUGUACAUCACCGCGCCAUGGCUCCAGGCACUUAAACCCACACUCAACCCUUUC
rnacentral:lncRNA from 1 species